CGAGACCUUCGGGUCUAGUGGCGCACGGGUGCGUAACGCGUGGGAAUCUGCCCUUAGGUACGGAAUAACUCAGAGAAAUUUGUGCUAAUACCGUAUGAUGUCGAAAGACCAAAGAUUUAUCGCCUAAGGAUGAGCCCGCGUAAGAUUAGCUUGUUGGUGAGGUAAAAGCUCACCAAGGCGACGAUCUUUAGCUGGUCUGAGAGGAUGAUCAGCCACACUGGGACUGAGACACGGCCCAGACUCCUACGGGAGGCAGCAGUGGGGAAUAUUGGACAAUGGGCGAAAGCCUGAUCCAGCAAUGCCGCGUGAGUGAUGAAGGCCUUAGGGUUGUAAAGCUCUUUUACCAGGGAUGAUAAUGACAGUACCUGGAGAAUAAGCUCCGGCUAACUCCGUGCCAGCAGCCGCGGUAAUACGGAGGGAGCUAGCGUUGUUCGGAAUUACUGGGCGUAAAGCGUACGUAGGCGGUUAUUCAAGUCAGAGGUGAAAGCCUGGAGCUCAACUCCAGAACUGCCUUUG
rnacentral:rRNA from 1 species